UACGGAGGGGGCUAGCGUUGUUCGGAAUUACUGGGCGUAAAGCGCACGUAGGCGGAUUGGCAAGUUGGGGGUGAAAUCCCAGGGCUCAACCCUGGAACUGCCCUCAAAACUCCCAGUCUGGAGGUCGAGAGAGGUGAGUGGAAUUCCGAGUGUAGAGGUGAAAUUCGUAGAUAUUCGGAGGAACACCAGUGGCGAAGGCGGCUCACUGGCUCGAUACUGACGCUGAGGUGCGAAAGCGUGGGGAGCAAACAGG
rnacentral:rRNA from 1 species